GAUUUCUGGCCUGGUGUGCCUGGCCCGCCAGCGUUAGCUGUGUGAGUGUCGGGACGCGCCUGCCAUCCUUCUAGAGAACAUAUUUACCUUUCAUUAGGCCGAAUAUGCCAUCUAGAUCUUUUACUUUGAAAAAAUUAGAGUGUUUCAAGCAGGCAUGUUUGCUAUGAAUACAUUAGCAUGGAAUAAUAAUCUAGGACUUUCGGUUCUAUUUUGUUGGUGUUCUGGAGCUGAAGUAAUGAUUGAUAGGGAUAGUUGGGGGUGCUAGUAUUCAAUGGCCAGAGGUGAAAUUCUCGGAUUCCUUGAAGACUAACUUAUGCGAAAGCAUU
rnacentral:rRNA from 1 species